rnacentral:lncRNA from 1 species
CAACAACCGCCCAAGGGCUGAGGAGUGCGGGCGCACAGCGUGGGACUGGCAGACAGCUCCACCUGCAGCCCCCGGGCGGGAUCCACUGAGUGAAGCCAGCUGGGCUCUUGAGUCUGGUGGGGACUUGGAGAAUCUUUAUGUCUAGCUAAGGGAUUGUAAAUACACCAAUCAGCACUCUGUAUCUAGCUCAAGGUUUGUAAAUGCACCAAUCAGCACUCUGUGUCUAGCUGAUCUGGUGGGGACUUGGAGAACAUUUAUGUCUAGCUAAGGGAUUGUGAAUACACCAAUCAGCACUCUGUAUCUAGCUCAAGGUUUGUAAAUGCACCAAUCAGCACCCUGUGUCUAGCUAAUCUGGUGGGGACUUGGAGAACCUUUGUGUCUAGCUCAGGAUUGUAAACGCACCAAUCAGCACCCUGUCAAAACAGACCAAUCAGCUCUCUGUAAAACAGACCAAUCAGCUCUCUGUAAAAUGGGCCAAUCAGCAGGAUGUGGGUGGAGCCAGAUAAGGGAAGAAAAGCAGGCUCUCCGAGCUAGCGGUGGCAAUCUGUUAGGGUUUGUGUCUGUCGUGUGGAAGCUUUGUUCAUUCGUCUUUUGCAAUAAAUCUUGCUACUGCUCAGUCUUUGGGUCCACACUGCUUUUAUGAGCUGUAGCAGUCACCACGAAGGUCUGCAGCUGCACUCCUGAGGCUAGCGAGACCACGAACCCACCGGGAGGAGCGAACGACUCCAGACGCGCUGACUUAAGAGCUGUAACAGCUUACCGCUAAGGUCUGCAGCUUCACUCCUGAGCCAGAGAGACCAGGAACCCACCUAGAAGGAACAAACUCCGGACAUGCCGCCUUUAAGAGCUGUAACACUCACCGCCAGGGUCCGCAGCUGCAUUCUUGAAGUCAGUGAGACCAAGAACCCACCAAUUCCAGACACACUGUCAUCAAAAAGUGGGAUAUCUUUUUAAACAGAGAUAACAUUGCAGAAUCUUGGAGUUGGAAAUAGACCUCAGCUGGGGUUUAGUCCUGUUUUCUCCUCAGAGCAGAAGUCCUGGGAUGCCGUUCUGGACUGAUUGUCAGUUUUUUCUCCUGUCCUUGAGCUAUUCUAAUGCCAGACAUCUGUGGCUUUACACAGCCAGGCUUUCAGUUAGAGAACUUGGUUAGCUCAGGUCAACAAAUGCUGCUCUGAGAACACUGACUCCCAUGUGGGGAGACUCUGCACCUGGAGCUCCGGGAGAGCCGGCUCAGGCCUCUUCCUGCUAUCCAGGGAACUGCAGUGGCGUUGGAGGGCCUUGCUGGGGCUGGGGCUGGGGAGAAGGGAUUCCAACCCUACUGAUAAUUCGUUUGGAAACACCGGGCUGUGGAUUUCAGAAGUUCUUGGGCAGCCUGAUUACCACUGGCAGUGAGCCGGGGACGAAGCCGAAGCUAUGAGUGACAGACGGAAAGAACUGGGGGCUUUGGUGAACCAGAGAACACUUAGCUCCUCCAGCCCUGAAGCAGGCGUCACCGCAGGGCUUAUGGUCCUAAGAGCCACUUAGUUUCCUUAUUCAUUAAACUAGUUUAAUUUGGGUUUUCUGCAUCCUGGAGGACACCAAGUCGGUGUGCGGAGGGACCCUGUAGACACGUGUGCAAAGAAUAAGCCGACGAUCAUGGAAUUUCUGAUGACGCCACUGACACGUGGGAUGGAGGCCUCCUUCCCAGGGCACCCCUACACUCAUGACAAUGAAUCCUGGCUCUUAUUCACCCCUUUGGAUUUCACAAGCAAGUAACACAAUGUGAACCCUGGGAAUUCAAGGCUGAAUAGUACGAAGUCCUUUCCUCACAGAGUUCAGGACCCAGGAGUGGAGGCCAGAUAAGGAUACGCUGUCUCUUCAUAGAAACUUUCUCCAGUGCUCGCCUGCCCACAGACCUGGUUAGAGGCCCCGCUUUUUAUGGCCCCCCGGACUUAACCACGUCACAGAAAUCAUCACAUUGUGUUGAGCCUCCUGGGUUUCUUUGGACUGGAAGCUCCCUGAGGGCAGGGUUAUCUUGUUCGUCCUUUCAUCCCCAGGGCCUGGCAUAAGACCUGGCGAAGAGCUGCUGCAUGCUAAAGCUUUGCUAAUUGAAUGACUGUGUGUUAUUUCUUAAAUUCAAUGAGAAAUCACUCUACAAAGUCCAGGAGAAUGAAAGUCUCAAUAACCGAGCUUUCUCUCCCCUGAGCACCUACACAGGAAACUCAAUUACAGUUGCAAGAGGCCUCGAAGACCUGCAGGAUUUAGAAGAAUCCAGGCAUCUCCGGGCCCCUGGCUGGGGCUUCUGCAUCUGACAAUAGAGAUGGCUUUGCUCAGGGGAAGAAUACUUUGGGCUCUGACUCACUCCAUGAGCACUGGGUAAGCAACGUCCACCUUGGUGGCUCUUGCUAUAAUUUGUCUGUGUGUUCAGACCCAGUCCUUCCCUCCCAAACUGCUGACAGCGGUUUUCUUCGGUUAUGCUAAUAUCCCCCACUAUGUUCAAGUUGAGUUUUGUAGACAUGCCAGCUGCUCUGUUUCUUUACGUUGAUUUUCUCGCUCUGCCCUAAUAUGUGCUCAUUUCAUAGGUGGACUCUCUACAAUCAAUCUUUUAAUUUUUUAAAUGUUCAAGUUAUUGAGGGACACCUUCCUGAGAGGCGUCCAUUGUAAACGACAGCUUAUCACUGAUAUUAUCAUAUGAAAGCUAUUGUUGUAGGACUUUCUCUUUAGGGCCCAUGUCACAUGGCCAUGAGAGAUUAGGGUCACAGAGAUUUUGAAGGGUGAGAAAAAUGGAAUUUAUCGGGCC